rnacentral:rRNA from 1 species
CCCGCACAAGCAGCGGAGCAUGUGGUUUAAUUCGAAGCAACGCGAAGAACCUUACCUAGACUUGACAUCUCCUGAAUUACUCUGUAAUGGAGGAAGCCACUUCGGUGGCAGGAAGACAGGUGGUGCAUGGUUGUCGUCAGCUCGUGUCGUGAGAUGUUGGGUUAAGUCCCGCAACGAGCGCAACCCUUAUUGUUAGUUGCUACCAUUUAGUUGAGCACUCUAGCGAGACUGCCCGGGUUAACCGGGAGGAAGGUGGGGAUGACGUCAAAUCAUCAUGCCCCUUAUGUCUAGGGCUACACACGUGCUACAAUGGUCGGUACAAUGAGAUGCAACCUCGCGAGAGUGAGCAAAACUAUAAAACCGAUCUCAGUUCGGAUUGUAGGCUGAAACUCGCCUACAUGAAGCUGGAGUUGCUAGUAAUCGCGAAUCAGAAUGUCGCGGUGAAUACGUUCCCGGGCCUU